ACCAAACAGCUAGCUCAGACCAUAGAACCCAAGUUGAUAAUAUAACUAAUUCUUCAAGAAGUUGACAACACAAACUAAACCAUUCGACCACCCCAGUACCGGGCGACAGAAAAGGAAAAAUGACGCUAUAAACAAA
rnacentral:rRNA from 1 species